AAUAGAUACCCCGGUAGUCCACGCCGUAAACGAUGAGUGCUAAGUGUUAGAGGGUUUCCGCCCUUUAGUGCUGCAGCUAACGCAUUAAGCACUCCGCCUGGGGAGUACGGCCGCAAGGCUGAAACUCAAAGGAAUUGACGGGGGCCCGCACAAGCGGUGGAGCAUGUGGUUUAAUUCGAAGCAACGCGAAGAACCUUACCAGGUCUUGACAUCCUCUGCCAACCCUAGAGAUAGGGCGUUCCCCUUCGGGGGGACAGAGUGACAGGUGGUGCAUGGUUGUCGUCAGCUCGUGUCGUGAGAUGUUGGGUUAAGUCCCGCAACGAGCGCAACCCUUGAUCUUAGUUGCCAGCAUUUAGUUGGGCACUCUAAGGUGACUGCCGGUGACAAACCGGAGGAAGGUGGGGAUGACGUCAAAUCAUCAUGCCCCUUAUGACCUGGGCUACACACGUGCUACAAUGGAUGGUACAAAGAGCUGCGAACCCGCGAGGGUAAGCGAAUCUCAUAAAGCCAUUCUCAGUUCGGA
rnacentral:rRNA from 1 species